AGCGCGCGAAAAAUAAACACUUUUCAUCUCGGAUCAUCAGAGGCUGUUGUGCAUCCAAGAAAGAGUGAAAGACUGAUUGAAACCUACGUUUCCAGAGACCACCACCACGAUAAUUGAAGAUAUCAGCAAGUGCAAAGAGGAGCCACCAAUGCAACCACACCCUAAAUUGUUUCCAAGGACCUGGAUGGGCGACCGGAGAAGGAGUUUCAAGGCUGACUGGUACAAGAUUCACCCCUGGCUUGAGUACUCCAAAAUGUCAGACUCUGCUCAUUGUUACGCCUGCAGACAUUUUAGCCCUCCGAAUAGCACAGACACUGUAUUUGAUUCACUUUCAGGUUUCAAAAACUGGAAGAAGGCAACAUACAAAGAGGGGGGAUUUGCAAUCCAUGCCAAAUCUGAGCACGCAAUGAUUGCAUGGAAAGACUACCAGAGAGCUGUGACAUCCAAUGCAACAUUGGCAAAUGUACUUAACAAAGAACUAAGAAACUGGUUCAAGAAAAUCGGGAAUAUAUAAAAACCAUAGCCGAAGUGCUGCUACUUACUGCGACACAAAACAUUGCUCAAAGAGGACACAAUGAGUCUGCAGGCUCAGAUAAUAAAGGGAACUUCAUGACCAUUCUAGAGACAAUUGCUAACCAUGACAAAGCUGUUAAAAAAAGGUUGACUUCCAUUCAUAAUGAAAAGUACACAAGCAAAACCAUUCAGAAUUAAGUUCUGGGUUGUCUUGCAGACAUGGUUCGAUCUGAAAUAACAGAGGAAGUGAAAAACAGUGAAGUCUUUAGCAUCAUGGCAGAUGAAACAAAAGAUGUUAAAA